CGGCCUCCGCGCCUCAGUCGGCUACCGCGCGCGGGAAUGAAGCGCCGAGGGACGGCGAGGGGGCGGCGGCUCCACACGGGCUCUGCGGCCCGCCCCGACGAGCUGUGGGUCCGGGUGCCAGUGGGCGCCCCCCACCAGCUCCGGGCUCUGCAGCGCUGGGACUGCGGCAGCCCGGACGCCUACGGCAAGGUCAGUGCCCGCCCGGAGGAGGCGGCCCGGGAGAGGGCUCCGCGGGGAAUGCCGCCGCUCCCGGUCCCGCCCGCGCCGUGGCGAAGCGGAAGCGUCCUGCCGCCCGCACCUGCCUAGAGAGGGGACACAGCAAGGAUCCUACUGAACUAUAAGCGAUGGCUGCCACCAGGGCAUUUUGGACUCCUGUGUCCAGGGACCAGCCUGAGGGAAGAGCCACCAUAUUGGCAGAAGUAACUGACCCUGAUCAGCAGGAGAAGGCAUUUCCCCCAGUUUCUUGCAAGUCUAGUCUGAUCUUGGUGUCUACUUCUUGGAUCUGAACUGACACAGGGUUUGCUCACUGGCUAAUUAUUGUCAUAUUAGUUUGGAAUGUGUGAAAUUCAGUUUCUGCAAGAAUGUCACCCUGGAUGUGGUUAAAAAACUUUGUAAAAACUGUCGACGGUAAGAGAAUGUUGAUUUUGGCCACUUGUGUCUCUUUCAGUCCCAAAUGCCAUUAUGAAGUGAAGAGGAAACGUGAUA